rnacentral:rRNA from 1 species
AUGAACGCUGGCGGCGUGCCUCAUACAUGCAAGUCGCGCGAACGGACGAGAAGCUUGCUUCUCUGAUGUUAGCGGCGGUCGGGUGAGUAACACGUGGAUAACCUACCUAUAAGACUGGGAUAACUUCGGGAAACCGUAGCUAAUACCGGAUAAUAUUUUGAACCGCAUGGUUCAAAAGUGAAAGACGGUCUUGCUGUCACUUAUAGAUGGAUCCGCGCUGCAUUAGCUAGUUGGUAAGGUAACGGCUUACCAAGGCAACGAUGCAUAGCCGACCUGAGAGGGUGAUCGGCCACACUGGAACUGAGACACGGUCCAGACUCCUACGGGAGGCAGCAGUAGGGAAUCUUCCGCAAUGGGCGAAAGCCUGACGGAGCAACGCCGCGUGAGUGAUGAAGGUCUUCGGAUCGUAAAACUCUGUUAUUAGGGAAGAACAUAUGUGUAAGUAACUGUGCACAUCUUGACGGUACCUAAUCAGAAAGCCACGGCUAACUACGUG